ACGGGUCCCAAAAUUUCAGUUCCAAAACACCCUCCCAAGUAACUCGCAUUUCUGAGGAAGUAAAUAUACAGUAUGAUCCAGCGGGAGCAUGAGAACAUGGAUUUCCAUUCCCUCCAAAAACACUGGACCAUGCAAGACUCUAUCUAAUUAGUAUUCUAACAAAGUGACUCUCUUCCAACGACCUCUCUGGAUUUUAUCUCUCAUCAAUGAUUCC
rnacentral:lncRNA from 1 species